AGCACUGGGUGCCAAGGGUGUUUCUCCUCGGGGACUCCCCUGCCAGUCCCUGUAGAUCUACCGAUAUCUCGCGACACUGGGCUUCAGCUGCAGUGCCUCAGGCUUGAUGCCGUGCUUCUCUGAGAGGCUUCUGACGCCCGGGAGAUUCCAAGACUUGGUGAGGAAACUGUCUGACACCACUUUUCCUGCUGACCACUUGGUGCCUCAGCCUACUAAGAGUGUCCUUGUUUGGCUUUGGGAGACUCAAGCUCAAAUGAGAAGACAGUAAACUAAGCAAGGUGGACAUCUGCUUCAUUGGGCAUUGAGGUAGAAAGAAGAAAAAAGUCAAAGCCUAAGGUAAUACCAAAAUGAAAAUAGAGAAAAUAGAAAGAAAAGUUAGGUGCCUUUGGUGACCCUAGCAGUGUAAGUCACCCCUUUAGCAGUCUUAAAGGCUCCAUCCUGAGUGCCUACUCCUCAUCUGCUUACGUAAAAGAAAGCUCAAUUACAGUCAAAAGUCAUCUUUCUCAUUCAAAAAAAGCCUAUUGUGGAAACUAGUCUCACAAUUGUUUAAGCAAUUCAAGGCAGCUAUGUAUAUAUUAAUUAUUAUUAUUCUCUCUGUAUAAAUCAAUUUGUUCAGGUAAUAUAUACAUUAGUGAGUCUAUAUGAUAUGACAAGCACUGAUCUAGGCAUAAGAUAUGCAAAGGUGAACAAACCAAACAAGGUCUUUGGCAUCAAAGAGUUAAAAUUCUUGUAGAGGAAACAAACAGUAAGCAAGCAAACAAAGUAAAAUACGGAUUAUAGCAAGUGCUACGAAAGAUUAAAACAUGAGUGAGAAACUAUAAAGUAACAAGGAAAUCACUUUAGGGUGAUCAAGAAGGUCCCUGUGAUAAUGUGAAUUUUGAGUUGAAACCUGUAGGAGGAGAAUGAACCAGACAUAUGAAAAGUUAUAAGGAAGAGUAUUCUGAGCAGAGGAAUAGUAAGAAAAGGGACCUGGUAUAUGGGGGGAUGGAGAGUAAUCUUUGAGGAAUCCAAAGGAGGCCAGUGUGCCUGGAGCAUAAUGAGAAAGGAAAAGAAUGAUGUAAUGUGAGGC
rnacentral:lncRNA from 1 species